rnacentral:rRNA from 1 species
AGAGACAGCAGUCGCCGCGGUAAUACGAAGGGUGCAAGCGUUACUCGGAAUUACUGGGCGUAAAGCGUGCGUAGGUGGUGGUUUAAGUCCGUUGUGAAAGCCCUGGGCUCAACCUGGGAAUGGCAGUGGAUACUGGCAAGCUAGAGUGUGUCAGAGGAUGGUGGAAUUCCCGGUGUAGCGGUGAAAUGCGUAGAGAUCGGGAGGAACAUCAGUGGCGAAGGCGGCCAUCUGGGACAACACUGACGCUGAGGCACGAAAGCGUGGGGAGCAAACAGGAUUAGAUACCCCCGUAGUCCCUGUCUCUUAUAC